UACGUAGGGUGCAAGCGUUAUCCGGAAUGAUUGGGCGUAAAGCGUCUGUAGGUGGCUUUUUAAGUCCGCCGUCAAAUCCCAGGGCUCAACCCUGGACAGGCGGUGGAAACUACCAAGCUGGAGUACGGUAGGGGCAGAGGGAAUUUCCGGUGGAGCGGUGAAAUGCAUAGAUAUCGGGAAGAACACCAACGGCGAAAGCACUCCGCUGGGCUGAUACUGACAGCUGACAGACGAAAGCUAGGGUAGCGAAAGGG
rnacentral:rRNA from 1 species